UUUCAGAUAAAUUCAAGAGCAACAUCUUCUUUAUCAACGUUUCAAAGCUGCGCAACCUGCUGGUCAUUGUGAAGAUGAUAAUAUUCCAGCAUAAAGAAAUCGAGUUACCUGAACAAGCUCAAGUUCCGAAUAGAAAAUUACAAGAUUUUGGUGACAUCAAGAUAUGAAUUUCAAAGUUUUGGAUCAACAUAUAAAUUGGAAACAUUGAAUCUUGCAGAUGCCAUGACCCUUUUUCAGAAAUUGGCAUUACCAUCGGAUCAGCAGUCAUAUGCUCCAGAUCAAAAAAGUCUAGAGGAGGUGAUUUAUUCUCGUCAAAUAGGAUAGAAUAUUAGAUGGAUAUUGGUAAUAGAUGAAAAAUGUAUGUUGUAAAAGAGAUUUAUGUUUAAUUUUAUGUGUCGCAUGUCACCGUGCGGCGUCGGCUGGCGAUUUUCUAGUUCAUUUGCUUAAUUCGUUAGGAGUCGCUACCUAGUAUUAUGGUAACUAGGAACCUAUGAUCUGCGAGAGUCUGGGUAAGGGAUUGGUUGUGCAAAGGGAAGACGCAUCACCCCCAAUGCACCCUACCUAAGGUAAACUGCAUUGUUAUUUGAUUGUUUUUUAAGUCGAGUUUCUAUUUGUUGGUCUUUUCUAAGGUUCAAGGUAGAUCUCUCUUCAUGAGAAAGUCUCUACCUUAUUGGAUUAAAUCCUAACCAUUCUAAAAUCUAAAUUUUAGCAUCGUAUUUAUUUAUACCUUGUAUCUUUAAUACCUGAGGGUGUAUUUUAUCGUGUAAUUUUACACCCACAAAUAUUAAAGUUUACAUUUGGAUCUUAAAAAAAUUGAAAAAAAGGUUUUUGAUAUUUUGGCCAAACCCUAAUGGAUGAUCAUAAACCAGUCAUGAUAUCCAUUUCUAUUUUCAAAACAUGGGAAAGAUGCAAGUCUUUUUUUUUAAAAAAAAAAAAAUGCUUGGAAAAGUUUUUAGGUUUUGGUCGUAUGCAUGAAAUUCUUCUUCUUCUUUUUUUCCGGAGAAAAUCGGGUAUCUAAUACCGGAUUUGUAUUUUACAAUGUAAAUAUACAACCCGAUAUUACGCAAAAUUGGUAGAAAAAUAUUUGAGAAAAUCACAAAUGUUUUUUAAAGGAUUUUUUGAAAUUUUUUUGGAAUUUUUUUCGUUUUUUUUAAUAUUAUAAUAUAUUAUUAUAAAUAAAUAAAAUAAAAUAAAAAUCUACAUGGGCUGGGCCAGGCUCAGCCAUAGAAGAGAUCUCGGCCCGAAACGGUUGGGCCUAUCUCGGCCCAAAAUGAUUGGGCCGAUCUCGGCCCGAAACGGUUGGGCCGAGGUCGGCCCAACCGUUUCGGGCCGAGAUCGGCCCAUCCUCUUCUAUGGCUGAGCCUGGCCCAGUUAGCUGGGCCGGCCUAGCCCAUGUAGAUUUUUAUUUAUUUAUUUAUUUAUAAUAAUAUAUUAUAAUAUUAAAAAAAACGAAAAAAAUUCCAAAAAAUUUCAAAAAAUCCUUAAAAAAAAUUUGUGAUUUUCUCAAAUGUUUUUCUACCAAUUUUGCAUAAUAUCGGGUUGUAUAUUUACAUUGUAAAAUAUAAAUCCGGUAUUAAAUACCUGAUUUUCUCCGGAAAAAAAAAAAAAGAAGAAUUUCAUGCAUACGGCCAAAACCUAAAAACUUUUCCAAGCAUUUUUUUUUUUUUAAAAAAAAAGACUUGCAUCUUUCCCAUGUUUUGAAAAUAGAAAUGGAUAUCAUGACUGGUUUAUGAUCAUCCAUUAGGAUUUGGCCAAAAUAUCAAAAAUCUUUUUUUCAAUUUUUUUUAAGAUCCAAAUGUAAACUUUAAAAUUUGUGGGUAUAAAAUUACACGAUAAAGUACACCCUCAGGUAUUAAAGAUACAAGGUAUAAAUAAAUACGAUGCUAAAAUUUAGACUUUAGAACGGUUAGGAUUUAAUCCAAUAAGGUAGAGACUUUCUCAUGAAAAGAGAUCUACCUUGAACCUUAAAAAAAAACAAUCAAAUAACAAUGCAGUUUACCUUAGGUAGGGUGCAUUGGGGGUGAUGCGUCUUCCCCUUGCACAAUCAGUCCCUUACCCAAACUCUCGCAGAUCAUAGGUUCCUAGUUACCAUAAUACUAGGUGGCGACUCCUAACGAAUUAAGCAAAUGAACUAGAAAAUCGCCAGCCGACGCCACGCGGUGACGUGCGACAGAAUGGCGACUCCACUAGGGACCGCCUUGUUUAGUCGGACUAAGCUUUGUUUGUUUGAAUGUUUGAUUAUCUGUUUUGGUCUGUUUAACUUUACUGUUUCAACACUUUUAUUUCCUGUUCAUACAUAAAUACAUCAAGAUUAAUGCAUUCAUGCAUUUUUAUUUGUGCAAGAAGACCCAAUUCUAGGAUAGGUGGGGAGUAGCGGUCUGCCUCAUGACUUUCAGUUGGGGUUCAGAUUCGUGAAACAUCCAACUAUGAGCUGAGUGUUUACUUGGUGAUGGUGGUCACAUAGUGCCCCAACCAUCCCUUGUAAACCCUUAUACUGCCUUCAUGAAAGGUAGUCACUGGGCAGUUCAUAGACCUUUUGAGACCAGUUAGAAAACAUAUCCCUCAUAUAAUAACCUAGAAUUUUUCUGGACUUUACAGGAUUUUUGAGCUAAGACCAUGACUUCCCUUACCUUUUCAGAAUUAGGGGAAAGAUCUGAGAUGAUGCAAUUAGUCGAAGGGGAUUGCCCAAAAACCAAGGUUGAAGAAUUACCACACAUAACCAAAGUGCACUGUUCCGUAGACAGUAUAAAGAAGUUGGCCCCUAUUCUGGGAUAUAUUGAUGAGAAUCUGUUUGAGAAGAAGUAUGGAAGAAUUGCUCAUCUAAUAAGAAUGCCUAUUCAGAUUUCAGCAGUCAAAGCCUUGAUGCAUUUCUGGGAUCCGAGCUACAGAUGUUUUACUUUUGGGGAUAUUGAUAUGACCCCUACUCUUGAAGAGUAUGCUCAGAUCUUGAGUUUUCUGAAUGACCCUUACAAAGUGUACUUCAGGCAAAGAAUUGAGAGUACAGCUACAGCAGUUGCCAAACUUCUAUAUUUGGAUCAAGUUGAUCGGUACAGGACAUCCAAUGGAGGGUUCAAGUGGAAAAUGAUCGAGAAUAAAUUGAAGACAGAUAAGGAAAAAGGGAAGUUGGGUGAAGAAAGAUAUCAGAUAAUUGCUUUUGCCAUCUUUGGGUUGGUUCUGUUUCCUUCAAAAGCCGCUGGAAUUAUUAGCAUUAAAGCUGCUAACGCCUUUCUUGAAUUUGAAGAGACAAAGAAUAACCCUACUUCAGCUAUCUUAGCUGAAACCUUCUUAUCUCUAAAUCAUUGUAGAUUGCUUGGGAAAGGGGCGAUGAGAUGUUGUAUUCCUCUCUUAUUCAUGUGGAUAGUUAGCCAUUUGGAAGCGUCAAAAGAAGUCUUCAAUAAUUUCUAGUGGUUUAACAUGAGGCCUCUUGAGUUAGUGCUGACUGAAGAGUGGAAUGAUUUGGAUGAAAAGGCGUGGGUAGAGAAAUACCGAGAACUUCCCCAGAGUAAUUUCAGAUGGAAAGCUCCUUGGGUAAGUGGUUCAUCUUACCUCAUGAGUUGCGGCGACAAAGCAUGGGUCCCAUUAAUUGGCUUGACUGGUUAUAUCAUCUACUCACCCUCGUUGGUGGCUAGACAGUUUGGAGGGGUACAAUACGUACCAAGAACUUGGGGAUUAGCCGAAUAUACCAGUCCGUUUAAAGAAGCUAGUUCUUUGGAUGAGUUAGACGCCAUAAAAAAUGACUAGAAGCAGCCUAUUUUGGUUCGUAAAGAGGAGUUUCAAAAAGAGUUCUCAAUUAGCCCUGAUUAUUCAAUAUGGAGGAGUGGCAAUUCAUUGAAAAUACUUUAAGAGGCAACAAAGCUAGGGGUAACCCAAGAUAAGUCAUCCAUGACAUUGGAGCUCAAAAGAAAAAGGGUCAACAACGAGGAAAAUCUCCAAGAAGAACUGGAUAAACUGAGGAUUGAGCUUAGCAAGAGCAUGAUUCAUCAGAAAUUCCUGGAAAACCAACUCUUGAAAGAAGAUAAGAUGAAGGCCUCUCUAGAUUAGCAAUUGAAAGAAAAAGAUGAGCAAAUUGUUAAGUUAAGAAAGAACCAGCACGAAGCAAAUAAGCAAUUGGAAGAAGGGAAGGUCAAGUAUGAUGAGUUGGUGAACAAGCAUGUAAUGAUGGAGCAAGAAUUUGUGACUCUAAAAAGGGCCUCAGAAAAUAGAAAGUUUGCUGACAAAGAGACAAUAGCUUCUCUGAAGAAAGAAAGGGACCAGUAUAAAUUAAAAUGGGAAGCUGAAAAAGAGAAGAACAGAUUGGCAGAACUCACCAUUGAAGAAGAAAGAAGCUUAAGAACUCGAUAUCAGGUCCAAGCUGAUGAUGAGAGAGAAGCAAAGAGGAUAGCUGAGUCGGAUAUGAAGGAAUACCUGGACAGAAUAAAUGGUAUGAGAAACCGAGUUUCUGUGAUACAAGCCGAGCUUGAGUCCCGAGAGGAAGAAGCAAAGAAGAUGCAAGAACGGUUUGAGGAAUGGCAAGACUAUAUCAGCAGCCUCGAUGUACAACUAAACACUAAGGUAGUCGAGCUUGAUAUAGAGAAGGAAGAAUUGCAAAGGGCCAGAAAGCAGAUUCAGCAGUUGGAAAAGAUGGUUCAAAUUUUGGAGACAAACAAUGAAACAUUAGCCGCUAGUAAUGGAACACUGCUUCAAGAUAACACCCUGUUCCAUUACAAGAUCGAACAAACGGACAGGCUAAUUGACAUGGUGGCUAGAAAGGCAAAUGAGCUACGAGUGAAGGCUGCCAGGAUUGCCAACAACCAUCAUAGAUAUGAGGAGUAUUUGAAUGAAGUUUCCUCUUUCAUCAGGAAUGUAGCCAAUAGAGGAAUAUCAUUUGAAUGAAGACACUUUGUAUGAACCAUUUGUAUUAUGCCUACUUUUGAACUUUUACAAUGUGUAUGGAAUUUAAUCAAUCAAAGGAAUUGGGUAAAACCUCUUUGUGUAUAUCAGACUUCGGAUGCUACCUAUAUUUGACAAAGGAAGUCACAGAUUAGCUCUUUAAUCCAUAUACAUGCAUUUCUCAUUUGCAUCCAUAUUCAUACAUUCAUUCAUUAUAACACACAUGCAUACGCCAGGUCAAAAUAUAGGUCCCCAAAGAGUCUACAACACUCAACUUCGAGCAAGGAAUAUGGAAGAUGAAGAACGUGCUUACCGUGAAGCUCAUUUCCAAGAAGAGUUGGAUUCUUUAAAGGAUAGUGUGGCUCGCCUCACUAGUUUACUCGAGCAAGCACUAAGGAAUACCUCUGGUGAAGGCCCUUCAACUAGACCUGCCACUUUCCCAGCAAACCAACCUGAAGAAAUAAUAGGAGAACAUGCACAGGAGCCCUGACACAAUCCAGCAUUUGUGCAGUCAACAACACCAGUACUAACACCUGCAGUCACAGAUGCAUUCGUUAAUGAAUCCCACAAAACCAAGCCAUCUGAUGACAUUGAUCAGGACAAGAUGGCAACACUAGAGGCCAGGAUCAAGGCCAUUGAGGGAGUAGACUUAUAUGACCCUGUGCGAGCUGCAGAAAUGUGUCUAGUCCCUAAUGUGGUGGUACCAAAGAAAUUUCAAGUUCCUGAAUUUAUCAAAUAUACCGGAACUCAAUGCCCUAUUACCCAUCUCAAAUCCUAUUGCAAUAAAAUGGUAGAAGUAGUGCACGAUGAGAAGCUACUAAUGCAUUUCUUCCAAGACAGUUUGAGUGGAGUGGCGUUGAGCUGGUAUAUGAGGUUAGAUAAUACCAGAAUCCAUACAUGGAAGGAUCUCGUAGAUGCUUUCAUCAAGCAAUACAAAUACAACAUGGAUAUUGCUCCUGAUAGAACCAGUCUGUCUAAUUUGGAGAAAUGAGACAAAGAAAGCAUAAGGGAGUAUGCCCAGAGAUGGAGAGAUUUGGCAGCACAGGUACAUCCCCCUCUCCUAGAAAAGGAAAUGGUUGCUUUGUUUGCUAACACGCUAAAAGCGUCAUACUAUGAACACGUGAUGGGUAGUUCGGCUCAACAAUUCACUGAUGUCGUGGCAGUAACAGAACGAAUAGAGCAAGGAGUAAAGAGUGGGAGAAUCUCUGCACCCAUGGAGAAAAAAGGUUUUGGAGUAAAAAAGAGAGAGAUUGAUCAUCUUGAAAGUAGUUAUAAAAGCAAAAAAGGCCAAUUCCAAAGAUAUAACACUCAAUCCUCUUCAUCCCAAAUUGCCAACACCAAUUUCAACUUCCCGAUCCCAGCCAGAAAACUUGAACCCCAAAACCACCAAGUAAACAACCAAGCUGAAAGUUUCUCCAAAAAGAACUACCAAAGAACCCAAGAACAAUUGCCUCCGUUGUCGUUACCCCUAAAUGAAAUGUACCAAAAGCUACUAAGUAUCGGACAAGUAGCCCCCGUGCCUUUGACACCCCUACAACCACCUUACCCCAGCUGGUAUAAGCCGGAUCUCACUUGCGAAUACCAUGCCGAUGUAGUUGGACAUAGCAUCCAUACCUGCAACGCCUUUAAGAGAAAGCUUCUGCAAUUGAUCAAAGCAGGAUGGAUAACAUUUGAAGAUGCCCCUAAUGUGAAUAUGAACCCUCUACCCAAUCAUGCUUCAGGUAGUGGGUCUGUAAACAUGUUAGAAGUAGAACACUCAAAAAUCUUAAAGGUGUCAAUGGAUAGGAUCUACCAAAUGAUGGUAGAUGCAAGGUACAAAGAGGGUAGCGAGAAGUGCUGUGAACAUCAUAAUAUAGAAGGCCAUGUGAUCAGCCAUUGUGAGGGCUUUCAUAAAAAAAUGAUGCAAAUGAUUAGUCGUGGGUUGCUACGAAUUGAGAAAGCAACAAGUGAAGAGGUGUUCAUGAUGGAGGCACCAAAUAAAGAGGUGUGUCGAGUAGAAUUCACUACAGGAAGGCCACCCAAAUUGGUCUUAUCCAAACCAGUAGUAGAACAUAAAGGGAAUUAUAGUGCUUUACCUCAUGACUAUGGGUAUUCUUUCAAAAGCACUCAGCAACCGCCUAUUUUUCAAGCAGAAAUUGGAGGAUUGACCUGUAGUGGUAAAUGUUUCACUCUAGAAGAGCUAGAAAAACAAAGAAAAGCUAAGGGUAAAGAGGGGGUUGAUGUGACUGAGGAAAUAAACAAACCUGUCACAGAAGACGAAACCAAUGAAUUCUUAAAGCUGAUGAAACACAGUGAAUAUAGUGUUGUUGAACAGCUCAAGAAAACUCCAGCAAUAAUAUCGUUAUUGUCUCUGAUUCUAAGCUCUGAGCCACAUAGGAAGGCUCUACAAAAGGUUUUGAAUGAAGCAUAUGUUCCUCAAGACAUCAAUCAAGAAGCCAUGGAACAUUUAGUGGGAAGAAUCCAGGCCUCGAAUUAUGUAUACUUCACUGAAGAUGAAUUGAGUCCCGAUGGUACUGGGCACAACAAGCCACUAUACAUUACAGUGCGUUGUAAGGACAUUCUGAUCGGAAAGGUACUCAUCGAUAAUGGUUCCGCAUUGAAUGUCCUACCAAUGCAUAUGUUAAAAGAAAUGCCUGUUGAUGAGUCACACAUGAAACCUAGCACCUUGAUGGCUAAAGCAUAUGAUGGUUCGCCAAGACAGAUAAUUGGAACCCUAGAAGUGGAGCUAUAUGUGGGGCCGCAGAUGUUCUUGAUAACAUUACAGGUAAUGGACAUUCACCCAUCUUACAGCAUAUUAUUAGGAAGGCUGUGGAUUCAUGCAGCUGGAGCAUUAGCUUCUUCAUUGCACCAGUGUUUAAAGUAUAUCAUGAAUGGAAUGCUGAUAACUGUCAAAGCUGAAGAGACAGUUUCCAUGAUAAAAAAUGUGGUCAUACCCUUCAUUGAAGCAGAAGAUUGUAGAGAUGGGAAUAUUCAUGCUUUUGAAAUUGUGAACACAGAAUGGGUUCCUGAAGGUGCAGUGCUGAGAAAGCCUAGAAUUCCAGAAACAGCAAAGAUGGUUGCCAAAUGCUUUCUAAAGAAUGGGGCUCCUUUUCAAUGUAAUCCUGAGACUGGAAUGCCUGGGCUGAUCAAGCUAAAGUGUGCAAAUCAAAGAUUUGGGCUUGGAUAUAAGCCCAAGAAAGACGAUUACAAGCGGGUCACUCAGAUUAAAAGAGAGGCAAGAAUGGCGAGGAUUGAAGGAAGAGAGCCAGAAGAGGAGGUGUCGCACGUCAAAUCCACGCAGCAUCGGCUGGCGAUUUUUCAUUUCAUUUGCGUUUUGAUUGGUUCGUUGGAGUCGCCACCUAGUAUUUAAUUGAAGGCUACUAGGAAACCCUGGUGCUGGUCUUGUCAGAGAUUCAUGGGUAAGGGACUGGUUGUGGUUAGGGAAGGUAUUAGCAUCCCUAACACACCCUACAUGAGGUAAACUGCUUCGUGGACUUAAUGUGUUAAAGAAGUUUUAAAAAUUCUGUUCUUUCAUCGAAUUUUAGAAAUAAGACUUACAUACAAGUUCAUAAUUCUUUAUCCGUGAGCAAAUCAAAAUAUUAAAUUCUUCUUUAUUCUUGCAAUUUUAUCGUACAAAAAAAACAUUCAUAAACAAAAUACAAAUCACACAUUUCCUUUUCACUAUACUUUUCUUUUUUUCUUUUUUCUUUUUUUUUCUUUUUUUUUCUUUUUUAUUACAUCAACACUACAAAUUAUAAAAAGUCAACUAAACAAAAAAACAUUAAACAAUUUUUACAAUUACAAAAAUUAGCCCCAAAACAAUCUGAAAUUACAGGGAUAGCCUUCUGCACCCGCAGGAACACUGGCGGCGCGUCUCUCCACGCGCCACCCACGCGCCGCCGCAAGAAAAUCCAAGCGCGCAGGAGGGUCAGUCACGGCUUCCUCUCUUCUUCCCCUCCUCGCCGGCGGUGACCUGCAAAACACCAAAAAGGCAACAGGCACACUGUUUUAAUCUUCUUUCACGGUUUUCGGAUCUGCCUCUCUCUCUUCUCCUUUAGAUCUGCUUCACUGCAGAUCGGUUCUUCCAUGGGUUUUUUCAUCUUCUCCUCCGCUUCAGGUAGCUGGCAGGAGGAAGGAUGGCUGCUGAUCUGUAGGUGCCGCUGUGUUCGGGCCGCCGCUGGAGACUGCUGGGUCUGCGGGCGCUGCUGGAGGGAGAAGGCGGGCAGGAGGCCAGUUGCAGAAGAUGAAGAAGAGUGGUGCCCCGACGUUGCCGUGUGGGGGCUGGUGGCUCACUGGUGAGGACGGCGCUGCUGCUGCUGGCGGCGACAAACAGCUGAGAGAAAUGUAGUGGCCGGCUGCUACGGGGAGGUGCAGAAGUCGGUCUCUGUCUGUGUUGCCAGAGAGGGAAAGUCUUGUGCUGGAAGGAAACAGCUGUGACGGUGAUGAGAGGAAAUGGGGGGAAAAGUUGAGCCGGCUGGAGAGGGAAAGACGAGGUGGCUGAGAGAGAGAACCGGUUGAGGGAAAGGGAAGGUCUGUGUGGGCUGAGGGUGUUCGGGUGUGGUCGGUUCUCUUAUGGGGAAAAGAGAAUGGGGAUGGCCUGUGAGCAGUCGAGAGAGGGAAGGGAGAGUGAGGGGAUGAAGAUCACUAAUUUGGUUUCAAAGGAAGGGGGGCAGUCUGGUGUGUCUUUUGGUAGAGAGAGGGGGGCUGGCCGUGUUUGGGCUGAGGGAGCAAAGCUCUUGGCUGGCGAGAAGAAGGGAAAAAAAAUCUGAUGAGGGGGGCGGCGGCUUCGAGUGAGGGAGAAGAAAGAGUUAAGCUUUUUUAGGGUUUUCCUUUUUUUGUGUUGCCUCCCCAAAUUGUAAAAUUACCCCCCCUGGUUUUGAGUUUUGGACUUAUAUUUAUAGGUAAAAUGUUGCCCGGGACUCAAAAUUGGUCCCUCAACUUUCUUUUUUUGUAAAUUUUGAUUUUUCUUGUAUUUUUUAAAACGAGCAAUAUCAACGUUGACUCAAAGAGAAAAAUCAAGGAUUUUAAAAACAACGCGUGAAAAGUUGAACGCGUUCGAAAACUUCUGAAAAUUUAAAUUCAUUUUUAGACGACGUUGAAAAUGCUAAAAACGAUACAAAUAUAUAAAAAACAUAUUUUUUUGGAUUUUCAUUGUUUUUCGCUAUUUUUGGAUUUUUUUCAAAAAUUUUAUCAAAUAAGUGGGUCAAAAAUUGGGUAGCAACAGGAGGAACUUGUCAUCCCACCGCUCCAAGUAUCUUUCCCAAGGGCUACAAAAGUGAUUAGAUCUAGCAUAAUGGAUCUUCACAUCAAUACCCUGGAGAGCCAAGAAGAAAAACAGAUAGAGGAAGCGGAUUUGGAAAUGAAGGAUGAAGUUCUGCCACAGCUUUCCAUUCACACCAUUAAUGAACCUCCUGCCAGAUUUUUCGUACGAAGAUUGGCUGAAGGAGAGGUGUACCAGAACUGGAAGAUGGAGCCUGCUCCUAUUGUGUUUAAAAAGUAAUUGUUCUUGUUUGAUCAUGCUCGAACUUGUUUUGUCUUGUUUUGACUUGUGCUGAUCUUGUCGGUAUUUUAGCUCAUGAUACCGCAAGAUUUUCUAUGUUAACCGAGCACUUUUGUUUUAAUGAGAUCAUGCAUUUUCUUGUGUCCAAUAUGUGCCUGCAUUUUUUUUAUCUUUUCACGAAUCACACUUACACGAGCACACCUUGCACUUUCAGGAAUCCUGAAAGUUCCAUCGAUUCAUAAAACCAUUGCACUAAGAAUAAUUGGCCAAACUUUGAUAAUAUGAUUGCAAUGGAUGAUGAAGAAUGGGGAGAGGAAGAUAUAAGAGAGUUUACUAAGCUGGUAGAAAAUUCAGAAAAAGCCUGGGAACCUGCUAGUGAGAAACUAGAAGUCAUUAACUUGGGAAACAAGCAAGAAAGAAGGAAUUAAAGAUUGGCACCCUUGUUACAACUGAAGAAAGAAAUAGACUGGUCUCUCUAUUACAUGAGUAUGCAGAUGUUUUUGCUUGGACUUAUGUAGAUAUGCCUGAUCUAGAUACUGACAUAGUAGUACAUAAGAUUCCUUUAAUAGAAGGAAGCAAACCAGUUAAGCAGAAAACCAGGCGAAUGCGCCCGGACAUGUUAGUCAAGGUAAAGUCCGAGAUACAAAAAUAGUGGGAUGUAGGGUUUCUAGAUGUAGUCCAAUAUCCUCAAUGGGUAGCUAAUGUGGUCGUAGUCCCAAAAAAGGAUGGGAAGAUUCGGGUGUGCGUGGACUAUAGAGAUUUGAACAAGGCGAGCCCAAAAGAUGAUUUUCCUUUACCCCAUAUAGACAUUCUCGUUGAUAAUGCUGCAAGAAAUGCUACAUAUUCUUUUAUGGAUGGAUUCUCUAGUUACAAUCAAAUUAGAAUGGUAGAAGAAGAUAAAGAGAAGACCAUCUUUGUCACACCUUAGGGGACGUUUUGCUAUAAAGUAAUGCCAUUCGGAUUGAAGAAUGCUGGAGCCACAUAUCAAAGAGCAAUGGUUACCCUGUUCCAUGAUAUGAUGCACCGAGAAGUGGAAGUUUAUGUGGACGACAUACUUGCAAAAUCAAAGGAGGAGAAAGAUCAUGUGCAAGUGUUAAGGAGACUAUUUGAAAGGCUGCGAAAAUACCAGCUAAAGUUGAAUCCUGCAAAAUGCUCAUUCGGGGUGAAAACAGGAAAACUAUUGGGCUUCAUAGUAAGUGGUCGAGGAAUAGAAGUUGAUCCUGAUAAAGCUAAACCUAUUCAGGAGAUGCCUGCCCCUAAGACAGAAAAGGAAGUAAGAAGUUUCCUAAGGCGCCUGAAUUACAUAGCUCGGUUUAUAUCCCAGUUGACAGUGACUUGUGAACCAAUUUUUUGUUUGCUCAGGAAGAAAAAUCCUAGAGUAUGGGACAAUGAUUGUCAAGAAGCCUUUGAUAAAAUAAAGAGGUACUUGCAAAACCCACCACUAUUAGUACCUCCAACACCGAGGAGGCCUUUGAUCCUAUACUUGACAGUAACAGAAACAGCUAUGGGCUGUGUGCUGGGAUAACAUGAUGAGUCAGGAAGGAAAGAGCAAGCUAUUUACUACCUGAGUAAAAAAUUCAAUGAUUGUGAGUCGAGAUACAUAACAAUUAAAAGGUUGUGUUGUGCCUUGGUUUGGAGUGCGAAAAGACUCAGGUAGUAUAUGUUAUAUUACACAACCUAGUUGAUUUCAAAAUUAGACCCGCUCAAGUAUAUCUGUGAAAAACCUUACUUGUCAAGUAGAAUAGCAAGGUGGCAAGUGUUGUUGGCAGAAUAUGAUAUUGUCUUUAUGACAAGAAAAGCUGUAAAAGGAAGCAUAAUUGCCAAUCAUCUUGCAGAUCAUGCCAUGGAAAACUACGAGCCUCUAAACUUUGACCUCCCAGAUGAAGAUGUGAUAGUAAUCGAGAAUGAAGGUGGGGAAAGCGAUCAGUGGACCCUUUACUUUGAUGGUGCAGUAAAUGUAUCAGGAAAUGGGGUAGGAGCUGUAGUAAUUUCCCUAGAAAAUAAGCAGUAUCCUGUUUCAACAAAGUUACUGUUUGAAUGUACCAAUAAUACGGCCGAGUAUGAAGCCUGCAUCAUUGGCCUGGAAGCUGCUUUAGAACUUAAAGCCAAGAAGCUUGAGGUCUUUGGGGAUUCCUUACUAAUCAUCUGCCAAGUCAAAGGUGAGUGGCAAACCAAGGAUGAGAAAUUGAAGUUGUAUCAAAAUUAUCUCUUGAGGUUAGCCAAUGAAUUUGAAGAAAUCAAAUUCACCCAUAUAAGCAGAGAUAAGAAUCAGUUUGCUGAUGCCUUGGCAACCUUAGCUUCAAUGACACAAGUUGAUGCUAAAAGCAAGGUCCAGCCAAUAGAUAUCGAAGUCAGAAGCUUCCAAGCCCAUUGUUGCUUAAUUGAAGAAUCUCCAGAUGGGAAACCAUGGUACAAUGACUUCAAGAAGUUUCUCCAGCAUCGAGAAUAUCCUCAAGGGAUUUCCAAGACAGAUGAAAAGACUUUGAGGAGAAUGACCAUGAAUUUUUACUUAGAUGGAGAAAUUUUAUAUAAAAGGUCAUUUGAUGGGACUCUGCUCAGGUGUUUGAAUGAAAAUGAGAUUGAACAAGCAUUAAAAGAAGUCCAUGAGAGGAUUUGUGCUACACAUGCCAAUGGGCAUACAAUGGCGAAACAAAUGCAAAGGUCUGGAUAUUUCUGGUUGACCAUGGAGAGAGAUUGUAUAGACUAUGUUAGAAAAUGCCAUAAGUGUCAAAUAUAUGGUGAUAAGAUAAAUGUGCCUCCAACGCCUCUGUUCAAUAUGAUCUCGCCUUGGCCUUUUGAUAUGUGGGGUUUGGAUGUUAUAGGGCCAAUCAACCCUAAAGCGAGCAAUGGGCAUAGAUUCAUUUUGGUGGCCAUCGACUACUUCACCAAAUGGGUAGAAGCCAACUCUUACGCCCAUGUAACACAAAAGUAGUCAAGAGAUUCAUUGAAAAGGAUUUGGUCUGUCGUUAUGGUUUGCCAGCAAGAUUGGUAAUUGAUAAUGCUCAGAAUUUCAAUGGGAAGUUGAUUGACUAACUGUGCACCAAAUGGAAGAUUAAACACCUUAAUUCUUCCCCUUAUAGACCGAAGAUGAAUGGGGCAGUCGAAGCAGCUAACAAGAAUCUCAAGAAGAUUAUCCAGAAAAUGGUGGUCACCUAUAAGGAUUGGCAUGAGAUGCUCUCAUACGCCUUUCAUGCGUACCACACCACAGUUAGAACUUCUACAAAUGCAAACCCAUAUUCCUUAGUAUAUGGAAUGGAGGCGGUUAUGCCUUUAGAAGUAGAAAUUCCAUCACUGCGGACCCUGAAGGAUGCAGAACUGGACGAAUCAGAAUGGGCAAGGUUAAGAUUUGAGCAACUAAACUUGAUUGAUGAGAGAAAACUAGCAGCUAUUUGCCAUCACCAGUUAUACCAAAGCAGGAUAGCCAAAGCUUACAACAAGAAGGUCAAACCAAGGGUGUUCAAGGAGGGGGAUUUGGUGUUAAGAAAGGUCUCACUAGCAUCAGGAGAAGAUCAAAGUAAGUGAGCACCAAACUACGAAGGGCCAUAUGUGGUGAAAAAGGCUUUUUCUUGAGGGGCUUUAAUUCUGACUAAUAUGGAUGGAAAGGAUCUACCUAGACCUGUAAACUCAGAUGUUGUAAAGAAGUAUUAUGCCUGAUGUAUUUACCUUUAUCAAUCAAUAAAAUUGAAGUUUGGCCAAGAUUUCUUUAGUGUGUUUCCCCUAAAAAAACUAUGCAUGAUCCCAUGUUUUGAUAAAGAUUCUUAGAAAUUCAAAAUUCUAGUACAAAACUAAAAUCAAAUUGGUGUUUGUUCUAACAAACAAGUUCUAAAAAUUCAAGUGAUAUCCUAACACUUAAAAAACCUGAAAGACAACCCAAACACCAUGAAAUAACUUCAAAGCUGAGUUUUGACUGCAUGAAUAAUGAGAAAUCAUUUUGCAUAUUCGCAUGUGAGAAAGCAAAGCUUGUCGAUUCUAACUGCAUGCGUUUGAAAUGAAGAAAGGCCAUAUUUGAUCAUCCUUCACAAAAUCUAAAAAUCCCUUGUAAUCCCUUUUUGAGCCUAAUGCAUUUUUCUUGAAAAAAUAACUUUGGCUAGGAUUACACCUUACACUAGGGGGCAAGUGCAAAAAUCCUUAAUGACAAAAAGUGCCCAAAUAAAGCGGGGGGGCAUGAAAGAGUCCUAAAAAGAUUUGAGCGUGCCACAAAAAUUACUAAUAUAAUGAUGCUCAAAAUCAAAAGAAGAAAAAGCCCAACACUGGGGGGCACCAUGACCCAUUUUACAAAUUAAUUCCAAAUUCAUGAAAAAAAAAGAAAAAAAAAGAGAAGAAUUUGGGAAAUAAGUACUAGUGAUCCUUAGUCUUAAAGUCCUUUAAACACCUUUUGAACCUAUAUAUAUCCUUUUUCUUCAUAACCAAAAGCCUAACCCUAUGUUACGUGCCCAAUCAAGCCCUUUCUGAUCAAACGCAGGCAGUCUGGAUCGAUAGGCAAUGCUUUCUCAUGCGAAACAAGUCAUUAUUCAUGCAUUCAAAAUGAAAACUUUGAAAACUGGUUCUUUGAAACCCUCAAAUUGAAACUUGAACCCUUUCGACCAAUCAAAUAUCACUUCACUUCAUCAAAAGCAAAACAAAAUUUUUCAACACUCAUGCAAACCUAUCAAAUAUCACUUCUCUUCAUUGACAGAUCGGUGUCUCAUUGUCGCCUCUUUUUGAGUGAGCUGUUGAGGCCUCAACCAUCUCAACUAAUGCAUUGUGUAGCCCUACCUUUUUCCCUUUGAGUGCGCCUUCGAGCCCUCCACCAUCUUAGGUUUUGUGCUUUAUAGCCUACCUUUGAGUGUGCCUUUGAGCCCUCAUCUAUCGAGUUGUGCGUUUUCUAACCAUACCUCUUUUCUAGUGCGCUUUUCAGUCCUCGUCCCCCUUCGGGUCCCAUCCUUUUUUGAACACUCCUUUGAGCUCUUAUCUCUUGAAUAGUGCGCCUUCGAGCCCUAUCAUGUCUUCUCUUUAAGACAUUUUAUUUUAUUUCACCUGGGUAGGUCACUCAUCACAAUCAGACCUCUUUGAAAACUCUUUUCGUCUUCCAUUUGGGCUGGUUGCCCAUUACAAUGAAACCAUUUUGAGAAAUCUUUGCAUUUCUCACCACCUUCAAAAUCUUCCAUAUGGGCCGAUUACCCAUUACAAUAAAACCAUUUUGAGAAAUCUUCACAUUUCUCACCAUUUUGAGAAAUCUUCGCAUUUCUCACCACUUUGAAAAAAUCUCUGCAUUUUUCACCACUGUAAAAAAUUCUUCGCUGGGUAGGUCACCCAUAACAAUUCGACCAUUUCAAAAUAUCUGAAUUUUCAAAAGGGAAAUCUUCUAGUUUUUGCUCUGAGUGCACUUUCUAACCCUCAAAAGGAUUCAUCAUUUCUCAAUAUGAUGAGUCAAUCAUCUCUCAUCCUUUUUUUUUCUUCUUUACAACGCUUACUAUCUAAAGUCUCUUACGAGACUUUCUAUCGCAAGCAUUGUAAAGAGGAGGGCAACUGUCAUAACCCAAUUCUGGGUUAUUCCCCAAAAUUCACUUUUUUUCAAAAUAAAAAUAAAAAAUAAAAAAAAAUAAAGGUUGGCAAUGUGGAGAAAGCAGAUCAAGAAAGACUGCAAAAAUAGGCAAAAAUCAAGCUGCAAUUUUUGGUGGAAAUUCAAGGCCUAAUUGUACCCCAUUAUGCCUAAAACUGAAUAAAAAUGCAAAUUCAAGGUCAAAUUAAAUGUUUAUUGGACAAAUUUGCAUAAACAUUAAGUCCAAUGACAUAAUUAAAUUUUUAAUAGGCCAAUUUGAUUUAAUCAUGGGUCAAAUUAAAUUUUAAUUAUGUUUAAGAAUUAAUUUGGGUCCAAUUGAAGGAUUUAAUUGAGUGCAAUGACUUAAUUAUACUUUAAAUGGGUCAAAAUUAAUUUUAUUUGGGGCUUAAUUGUUGAAAAAUUAAGUUUGGGAGCCUAAUUUGGGCUUAAUUGAGAAGAUUGGAAUUUUAAAAGACCAAAUUUAAUUUUUACCAAGUUAAUUGAUUGAAAUUAGGGGCCAAAUUGCAAGAAAAUUGAAGUUUUGGGGUCAAUUAAGGGUUAAAUUGACAAAAUUCACAGCCAAGGACCAAUCUGCAAAAGGCGCAAAAAUUGGGGGGCUUAAUUAACAAAAUCCGGGGGUCAAAUUGAAGAAAAAUGAAGUUUUUUGGGUCAAUUAGGGACGAAAUUGCAUAAAUCCAAGACUAAGGACCAUAUUGCAAAAGGCAUGUAAAUCCGGGGCUGAAGUUGAAGUUACGCCGGGACCAAAUUGCAUUAAAUCAAAAGUUUAGGGUCAAUUAGGGAUUAUAUUGAAAGCAAUUGAAAGCUGGAGGACUCAAUUGAAAAUCGGUGAAAAUCCCUAUUUUUAACCCAAAACGGCGUCGUUUUUGCGUUUUAAAAAAAAAACAGAGAGAGAGACCAGGCGACGCAUCGCCUGGUCACUGUUCAUCAUCUUCCCCGUGAAGCUAUCAGGGUAGCAGUUUUGCAGGUGCAUUUAAUGCCUCGUUUGGCCCCCAAAAUUGACAACUCAUGCACCAAAAUGGCCACCUGAAACCCCUUUAUCCCCGAGCAUUGUCCGGUCAGGCCUAUAAACGUCAAAACCGCUCCGAUGACCGGCCUAAAGUGGCCACCUCGGGCAGCCUUGGACUGUCAAAUUUGACAGUUCGAGGUGCACACUUUGAACCAACGGUUUGAAUGCCUCCAGUCAAAUCAAGGGCUGAAAAUUUUUCCCUCGUGAAGACAAGAUUGCCCUCUUCCACCGCCUAUAAAUAAAGAUGGAUUUCAUGGUCUGGGGGAGAAGAAAAUCAAGUGCAAAGUUGACAAAAAAUCAACAAAUUCUAGAGGAGGUGAUUUAUCAACCUGCAAUUAUUAAUGCUUAUUUGCUCAUUUUUAUUUGGUUUUCACCUUCUACAUAAAUACAAAUUAGUGAACAAAUAUUCUCUGUCCAAUAUUUUGACUCGCUGAUUUAGCAUGCACUUGUGCUUACUUGUUUGUUGUCUUAUCAAGUGCUAUCAGAACUUCAAAUAAAAAUUCCGAAACCAUGUGUUUUGAAUCUGUAAAUUUACUCCAGGGAUGAUAUCUUACAAUUUUGCAACUGUAGAAAAGAAAAGAAAAACGUUGAUUUUACACCUUUAAGAAACCAUCGAUGUGUUUACACAAUGGAACUUUUGUUAGAGAAUAAUAUAAAUCAUAUCUUGGAACCUUAACUAACAGCUUGAACUUUUGGGUUGAAUUGGUUCCUUGACAAGGUAUCAGAGCCUUGAUGACCAAGCGGUCACGAAUUCGAAUCUCACCAUCCUCAUUUAUUUGAUAAAAAUUAAACACAAGGUAAUGUUGAUCUGUGCAAGUUUCAAGUCCAAAAGACCCUCACUUGAGGGGGUGUGUUAGAGAAUAAUAUAAAUCAUAUCUUGAAACCUUAACUAACAGUUUAAGCUAUUGGGUUGAGAUGGUUACUUGACAACUUUAUUUUUAGUUUGUUACUGCCCACCAACCUGCACGGAAUGACAGAUUCUUCAAAGCAGUGUGGAAGCCUUCAAUGAUGAUGUAGUAGCCAAGGAAUGUUUCAUGGACCUUGGUUCAUUCCCUGAAGACCAGAGGAUUCCUGCCACUACCCUUAUUGAUAUGUGGGCAGAAUUGUAUAACCAAGAUGAGGACGACGCCAUUGCCAAUCUCCAUGAACUCUCUGAUAGGAAUCUGAUUGAAGUUGUAGUUACAAGGUAUGAUAGCUAUGAACCCUAUUGACAUUAUCAUGGCCAGGGUAUAUAUUCUAGUAAUGGUAUGUGGAAUCUUCACUUCAAACAUCGAUUCUACAAAUAUCAUAUGGAUCCUACUACUACAUGGACCUUUAUAUAUAAAAUGAGUUAUCCUGGAAAAUAUUAGAAGAAGAAAAUCAUGGAAAAUAUUAGAAGAACAAAACCAUUACCAACUUGGUUUAUGGGGGAUUAAAAUAAUUUGUUAUCUUUCUGGGUUUCGCUGAUGGAUGACCAGCUUCAACUGCUAUGAUUGCAACUUUUGAUGGUCAUUAGAACUCCACUUAUGUUAUUCAUUUCAAUUAACUUGUGUACUGUUAGUUGCUAACUUGUCAAGAGUGCGAGUCUCUAAGCAAUCAACUCCUGUGAUUCACCAGGAAAGAUGCAAACGAAGACGAUGGGUCCUAUAAUGAGCAUUUUGUCAUGCAGCAUGACCUGCUCAGGGAGCUGGCCAUCCGUGGAAGCAACUCAGGAAACAUUGAGCACAGGAAACGAGUAUUAUUGGAGAUAAUUGAAAAUAAAAUCCCUGAGUGGUUGAUGGAACAAGAUCAGCUAUCAAUCAGGGCCAAACUCUUAUCUAUCUCAAAAGGUUAUUAAUCCCUAUUAUUUUCUUAAUACAAAGAGAGCCUGGCCUCUGCGCACAAGCAUCAAACAUACACAACCAAUUUUUAAUUUUUUUGUAUUUUCAUCACCUUGUUUGCAGAUGAAACAUUCUCAUCAAGUUGGUCCACCAUGCAAGCGCCGGAAGUUGAGGUUUUACUUCUGAAUUUUCAGACACAGAAAUACUCAUUGCCUGAGUUCAUAGAAAGAAUGAAUAAGCUAAAAGUUUUAGUACUUCACAAUUACGGGUUCGUUCCAGCCGAAUUGAGCAAUUUCCCACUUCUUGGUUCUUUAUCAAAUCUAAAGAGAAUAAGACUGGAAAAGGUUUCCAUCCCAUCCCUUUUCUUGACUUCAAUGAAAUGGAGGAAGCUAGAAAAGAUGUCCUUGGUUAUGUGCAAUAUUGAUCAAGCUUUUAAUAAAUCUACCAACAAGAUUUCGGAUGCAUUCCCAAAGUUAGUCGACCUCACCAUUGACUACUGCAAUGAUCUGGAGGAAUUGCCAACAGGAUUCUGUGAUCUUGUCUUGCUACGAAAGCUCAGUAUCACAAAUUGUCAUAAGCUUUUGGCACUGCCAGAGGACAUGGGAAAUUUACUUGAUUUGGAGGUCCUAAGGCUCAACUCCUGCAUCGAAUUGACAGAGUUACCGGGCACAAUCGGUAGACUUCAUAAGUUGCAGAUUCUUGACUUAUCCGAAUGUCUAAGUGUAACAGAAUUGCCAGAACAGAUCGGCCAGUUGGAUGAUCUGAGAAAGCUCUACAUGAUAGAGUGCUCAAGUUGUGAAUUGCCAUCAUCAGUUGCGAAUCUUGUCCACCUAAAAGAAGUAAUAGGCGAUCAAGAAACUGCCAUGUCAUGGAAUCGUUUCAAACCCUGCCUUCCAUCUCUGACGAUAAAGGUACAUAAGGAAAACAACUUGAACUGGCUUGGUUAGCCAUUGUUUUGUGAUAAUGAUUAUUCUCCAAGAAUUCUGACGAGCCUUUAAUUUGUAAUUAUGUCAUUGUGCUUUACUUUAAUGCAUAGAAAGAAGGUGUGACUCUGUAAAUUGUUAGUAGCCCUCGUUAAAAAUCGUACUAUAAUGGCGUCAAGCCAUUAUUCCUUGCGAAAAGACGUUUCCUCAUAAACCCAAAACGCAGCUUGCCAGCAAUUUCUAAGAGCUGCAAUAUUUGACUAGAUUUGAUAGAUUUUUGGUUUGAGGAGUAUCAUAGAAUCCAUUUGGACGAGCUUAUUUGAAAUGAUGAAGUAAAUAAAUAAAAAGGUCGUCUAGUGUGUUUAUAUGUAUAUAAAAGCUCUCAUGUUCUAGCUUUGAAAUGUCUUUUUUAGAGACUGGGAGAUUUGAAUUCUACACACUUACGGUAGGGCUAAAUUGCAGAGCCAAUAGGUUUUUUUUUUUUAAUUUUAUUCUUUAAUAAUUUAAUUUUUAUUUUAUCUUUUUUUAUUAAUUUAUAUAUUAGUCUUAUGAAUUUUUUUUAUUUCAACUUUUAACAUUAGAUAAUUUGAAAGAAAGGUUUCAUAAUAUUUUCCAAUUAUUUUAUAUGAAUUUAUUUCAAUUUCAUGAUCCAAACCGUCGAUUUAACAAGUUAACAUGUGUUGAUUGAGGUUUUGUUUUGCUGAUUUUUCUAAUUGAUUUUUUUAUUUAUUUAUUUAAUAUUGAGUUGAUUUGAAAUUGAGCUUCGUGAAUUUUUAUUCAAUUUUUUUUUUAUAAAGUUAUCUCGAUCUCAUGACUUGAGUCGUAGGUUUAACAGGUUGGCCUGUGUUAACUUGGUUAAUUUUUAUGGGUCUUUUUUUAUUUGAUUUUUUUUUUAAUUUCACCCUCCAACAACCAAAUCUUCUUCUUCUUUUUUUAGUUUUUUUUUCAAUUUCAUCCUUCAAUAUUAGGUUAUUUGGGAAUUAGGUUUUGUAAUUUUUUUCAAUUUACUUUUUAUGAGGUUAUUUUUGUCUUAUGAAUUUAAUUUUUUAUUCUUUUUUUAAUUUUUUUAAAAUUCAUCCUUAAACAUUGAAUUAAUUAGGAAUUGACCUCUAUAAUUUAUAUUGAUUUGUUUUUUAUAUGAUUAUUAUGAUCUUAUGACCCAAAUCACAAAUUUGAGAGGUUAAUUCGGAUCGAUCUAAUAUGUUAUCGUCUUAAUAUUUUUUUAAACAAAAAAAAACCAACAUGUUAUCAUAUUAAAUUUUUUAAAAAAAAUAUCAUUCAAUAUGCAUUAUAUUUUGAGUUCAUGAUUUUUUUAUUAUAAAACAUGUUAGUAAUAUUUAGAUUUUUUUUAUAUAAAACAAAUUAUCUAACCUCAACAUAGCGAGCCAAUUAUCUAAGUAACAACUAGAUAUUAUAAUUCCCCCUUCAUACUUUGCUAGUCCAAUCUCAUAAUCUCUCUUUAAUUAAUAAAAUAAAAUAUGAAAAAAAUACCCUUAGUUAUAUUAUUCACAAAUGAUGAUAAUAAAUGUUUUCUUGUGUUUACAUCUAUAUAUUUAAUAGGUAAAAGUCGAAAGAUAUUCAUAUUUUUACCUUUUUUUAAUCAUUUCCUAUCACGAAAUUCAAUUUCUUUGAACAAAUGUUUUUUUGGUCAUACUAUAUUUUGUUUUCGUCAAAGAAUUCUUUGUGUUUUUAAAUAUUAUUUUCCAAUAAAAUAUUUCUUUCAAAAACUAUAAUUUAAUAAAUUGAUAUUUUUUGAAAUUAAAUUUUUAUACACUUGUUUUUUAUUUACAGUAAUUAUGAAGUUUAAUAAUUAAAAAAAUUACUUUUCAAAAAUAAUUGAUUUUGUGAAAAUAAUGCACUCCGUAUUUAUACGAAAGAUAACGAUAAUAUAGUCUAUCAAUAACCUUUGUAAUAAAUAUGAUGUCAAAAUAAUAAUUCAUGGAACUACCUUUAUAAUUGAAUUUAAUUAUAGUGUUUAAUUUGAAUUUAAUAAAUAAAUAAAUUAAAUUCACAAAUAUAAAAGAAACAUUCUAUCACUUAAUUUAAUUCUUUUUAUUUUUUAUAUUACUCUCGUCACCCUUAAAUUAUUUCAAUUUUUCUCUGCUAUCAUCACUGCAAAAUUACCUAAAAAAUCAAAUCCAAAUACCUUUCAAUAAGAUCUUAUUUUCUUAUUGAGAUCAAAUAACAUGACAGAAGAGAAGACUCUUUUAGUGAUAGUGUAGUUGAGGAUUUAAUGAAAGUGCAUAUUUACUCUUGACAUGAGAGAGAAGAGUGAUUUUAUAUAUAUAGGUAGGAGGGUAAUUUAACAUUAAUAAAUCUUAUUUAGUGUAUUAAAUUAGAAAAGUUGUUCUCUAAUUUAUUUUUAUACUUCUUUUAAAGAUUAAAUUCCAUUAAAAAUUUAAUUCUUGAUACUAAAAAUAGUUUUAAAUAUAAGAUUUCAUUAAAAAAAAAUAGUAUUCACUCCAAUUGUGUCGAUCUUACUCAAUAGUGUAUUUUUAUUACUUAGAUAGACUAAAAUAUUUAUAAUUAGAUCUUUCAUGAAUGAGGAUAUUAAAUAUUAGUAUGAAAUUUAUAUAUAACAGAAUGUCUUUCUUUGUUGUAAUUAUAAUUAUACUAUUCAAAUUUUACUCUUUUUUUUUAUCAUUACCUAUCAUCAAAAAAAAAAUUUCAAAAAAGGGUCCAAUUAUGGUUUUUUUCUUCAAUAUUUUUUUUAUUUUCCAAAUUUCAAAUAAAAUUUUUAUUUAGAAAAUAUAUAUAAUAGAUUAAUUUAUUUUUUAUUGUAAGAGCGAUUAUAAUUUGAAAAGCUUUUAUAUAUUUCUUUUUUUACUUGAAUUAAUUUUGACUUUAAAUAAUCACAAAGUAACAUUUCAAUAAAAUUUGAUUUAAUCAAAAUAAGAUAUUCCAUACAAAUAUUUAACCCCAAUCUCUCUUUUUAAUUUAUGUCUUUUCUUAUCUUAUAAGUUAUUAUUUCUUAUCAAGAAGAAAUAACUUUUAUUUUUAUAAAUACAUCACACAAAUACAUUUACUUAUAUCAAAUACAGAAAGAUUAAAGAAAAAUGACAAUAAUCUCUCAGAAAUAUUAUAAUAAUACAAAAUAAUUAAAAAAUAACUACUAUUUAAAAAAAAGAACCAAACAAGUUAAAGAAAUCAGAGAAAUUAGAAAAAAUAAACAAAUAAAUAAAUAAAGGGUAAAUUACUGAUACUAUCAACCCACGGGCCGGCCACCGCCAGCGUCGACCAGCACCAUAGUCAACCAAAACAACCCACGCUGACAUCACCAGAUUUGUUGUGAUUGAAUGCAUUCAAGAAAUGGAUGUUAAGGACAAGAUCUAUUAAAAUAAAAUCUAAUCGAAGUGAAUGUGUGCGCAUUAUCUAUCUCCUUCCUGGAAUUUGACAUCUCCUGGGAGUUUUUUCUGCUGAGACUGCUUGGGAAUUUCUCAGGAAGAAAGGGAAGAGAGUUGGGUGGUCCAGACUUUCCAUGUCCUAAGGCAAACUUUCGUAUGUUGGCCUGCAUUCUUUGAUAGAUUAACAAACAAGAAAAGGCAAAUCAAGUAGGCGUAGUUCUACUGCUGAAGAUACCAAAUUUAUUACCUAAUAUUUUAAUAUUCUAAAACGGGUAGGGAAAGUAAUGUAGUUUUUUUCAUAUAUUUUUUUUUCUUUUUUGUUUUUUUUUCCCUUUCCCUGCAUGUGUUUUUCUUUUUGUUUUUAUUUUUAUUUUUUUUUUUGUUUUUUUGUUGUUUUUUCCAUUCCCCACAUGUUUUUUUUCUGUUUUUUUUUUGUAUUUUUUCAAAAUUAUCUUCUUUUUUUUUUCAAUUUUUUGUUUUUUUUACUAUUGAAUUGGUUGAGAAUUUAGCUUUAUAGUUUUUUUCUUUAAAAUAUUGUCGAUUACUACAGUGUUUCUCCACAUAAUUUUUGUUUUGCUACAAUGUUUUUCCACAUAUUUUUUUUCUAAAAUUAUCUUUGUUGAAUUUAUUUUUUUAAUAUUGAGAUGGAUCAGAAUUUAGCUUUGUAGUUUUUUUAAAAAAAAAACAUUAUGGAUUGCUACAGUGUUCUCUCACAUGAUUUUUAUAUUUUUUUAUGAUUUUUUUUAGAUUAUCUUUAUCGAUUUUAUUUUUUUAAUAUUGAGCUGAUUGAUAAUUACAAUUCUAGCUUUCCUCAUAAAAUAUUAUAGAUUGCUAUAGUGUUUCCCUACAUGGGUCUUUUUUGUUCUUUUUAUGAUUUUUGUUUUUUUAUAUGAUUUUUUUAAAAAUUAUCUUUGUUGCUUCUAUUUUUUUAAUAUUAAGUUAGUUGAGAAUUUAGUUUUGUAUUUAAAACAAAACACUGUGGAUUGCUAUAGUCAUUCCCCACAUGAUUUUUUAAAAAAAUAUCUUUAUUAUUUUAUUUUUUUAAUAUUGAGCUGAUUGAGAAUUACAAAUGUAUAUUUCCUCAUAAAAUACUAUAGAUUGCUACAGUGUUUCCUUACAUGGUUUUUUUUCUUUUUGUUUUUUUAUGUUUUUUUUUUAAAUUAUCUUUGUUGUUUUUUUAUAAAAAAAAACAUUGUAAAUUGCAAUAUUUCUUCAUAUAAAUUUUAUUUUUUUAUAUAAAUCCAUGACAACAUAUAAAUAUAUUAUAAGUACGCGGCAACGUGGGUCAUGUAAUCUAAUUUUCAACUCAGUUGCGUAGACGGGACAAUUGAGUCUUGUGGGGCCAAAGGAAAGUUGCAGGAAAAGGAUUCAAGUCUGGUGUCAUGAGAGUUGCUUCGCGUUUUUUAAUUUUCUUAAUUUGGAAGGAAAGAAAUCGAAGACCUCAGGAUGCUAUCAAUUUUGAAAACUAAGAGUGAUUUAGGUGUAGCAAAAAGCUACUGACAAAGGAAAAUGAGACCUUUCCACUCAUGUCAGACUAGUAUUUAGGUCCUUUAGGUUUUUUUUUAUAAAUUAAAAAUUUAAAAAUUAUUUAUGUAUUUUGUUCUUAAGUAACCAUAUAACACAUGACGUCUUCUUUGUAUUUUAUAUUUGAAAUACUAGAUUGUAUUAUUUUAUAUUUUUUUAUGAUGUUUGGAAUCCUCAGAUGAUAAAGUCAAUAACGUUUAAAAAAAAUACAAUAAAUAAGAGAAUAAACAUUAAAUUCCAAGAACAAAUGUUUUUGUUCUUGUUUUGGUAUGAUAAAUGCCAUGGGAUUUAAAAGUAUUAUUAUCUAGAGAAUAGAAAUUAUUAACCCCUUACCUGAUGAUUCAUGAAAUAUAUAUAGCCUAUGAACCUUAUUCUUUAGUUUGAGUAGAGGGGAUGUAAUGUAAUUUUGUCCUGAUAGCAUUAAUAAUGAAUAAAUAUUUGUUAUACAAACAUUAAUAAGAGACAAAUAUUUAUUACACAUACAUUAACAAUAGAUAAAUAUCUCUAACUUUAACACUUUAUGUUAAAAGUUAUAAGAAUAAGCAAAUAGAGUCUCAGCACACUGCCAAAUCCAUUAUCAAUAGGUAUGGUAGUGAGCUAUACAUGUGUUUAUUUAGGCUUGGCACGUAACUAAACUUGAGCUAGACCCAUGCAAUCCGAACUAAGCAUCUUGUCAAAUCUAGAGAUGUUGGGUAUAAACGCGAGACCUACCUACUUAUCAAGGCAUUAUCAUCUUGCAUUUUGAUCUUUGAAAUAGGAACUUAGACUCAAAAUCAUUUUUCAUAAAGUUGCCAAAAAUAUAGAUACAUCAAUAUUAUUAUUUUUCUUGUACAAGAUAAAGACUAAAGAAAAAGGAAUUUCAAAAUAUCUUAAGCUUUUCAUAUUUUAUUACUAAUUUGAAUAUGUAUCACUUACACUCUUAUAUCCUUUUAAUGUAAUCAAAUUGUGAAGAGCUUAUUAUAAUUAUUAAAAAUAUUCACAAUGAUAUUACUAAGAAAUCACUCUUUAACUUUAUUGGAUCAAUAUUUAAAAAAAAUAGAGAAAUGAUACUCUCUCUCUCUCUCUCUCUCUCUAUAUAUAUAUAUAUAUAUAUAUAUAUAUAUAUAUAUAUAUAUAUAUAUAUAUAUAUAUAUAUGAAUCUCAUGCAUUGCCCCCAUACACUUACAAAUAUUGAGCAUGUUUCAGAUGAUUUCCUGAAUGUAUUAACAUAAAUAUCUUCAAAAAAGUAUUUGAUUAAGAUUACACUUAUUUUCUCAGACGAUUUCAAACUUGACGCUAUUGCCCUGUUUGACACAGGUGCAGAUUUAAACUGCAUCAAAGAAGGCGUAGUUCCAAAAUGAUUUUUAUAAAAUACUUCUGAAAAACUCUCUGCUGCUAAUAAUUCAAAAUUGCAUAUUGCAGGAAAAAUCCAAGCCUCUGUUUUCAACAACGGCAUCUCUCUUAAAACAUUCUUUGUCGUUACAAAAGAUAUUAAUCAUACCAUCAUUAUUGACACUCUAUUCAUUGACAUGAUCACUUCAUAUCAAGCACAUCAUAAUUGUAUCACUUCCAAAAUCAAUAGCAUCAAACUCAUUUUCUCAUUCUUAGAAAAAUCUAAUACUAGAAAUUUGAAUUUGAUUAAAGCAUGCUCCAUAUAUACUUAUCAUAUCAAUGCACUGAUUCAUGGAAAACAAUUCCACCUACAUGAUUUACAAAACAAUGUUUCUUUUUGUCGUAUCAACAAACAAUUACAAAACUCUGAUUUACAAAAGAAAAUCAUUGAUUUACAAAAUAAGAUUGAACAAUAGAUCUGUUUAGACUUACUUAAUGCUUUCUGGAAAAGAAAACAACACAUCAUUGAUCUUUCUUAUGAAGAUACUUUUUUAGAAAAACUUGUACCUACAAAAGCAAGACCUUUACAGAUGAAUGCUGAUUUAGAACAACAUUGCAGACUUGAAAUCCGCGAUCUCAAGUCUAAAGGUCUUAUCCAAAAGUCUAGAUCACCCUGGUCGUGUGCAGCCUUUUAUGUGAAUAAAAACUCUGAAAUCAAAAGAGGCACACUAAGACUUGUGAUCAAUUACAAACCUUUAAAUUCUGCAUUAAAAUGGAUCAGAUAUCCAAUCCCCAACAAAAAAGAUUUGUUGUAAAAAUUGCAUUUUGCAUUCAUAUUUUCUAAAUUUGAUAUGAAAUCCAGAUUCUGGCAAAUCCAGAUUGAUCCCAAAGAUAGAUACAAAACUGCUUUUACAAUUCCUUUUGGACAAUACGAAUGGAAUGUCAUGCUCUUUGGCUUAAAAAGUGCACCAUCUGAAUUUCAACGCAUCAUGAAUGACAUCUUCAAUGCACAUUCAAAAUUCUGUAUUGUUUACAUUGACGAUGUGCUUAUUUUUUCACAUUCCAUAGAUCAACAUUUCAAACAUUUACAUACAUUCUUUCAUACUACAAAACAAAAUGGUUUAGUUGUUUCUAAAAUAAAAAUUUCUCUCUUCCAAACCCGUGUCCGUUUCCUAGGUCACUAUAUUUGCCAAGGCACUGUAACACCAAUAGAGAGAUCUUUAACCUUUACUAACAAAUUUCCUGAUAAGAUCACUGAUAAAACCCAAUUGCAAAGGUUUUUAGGCAGUCUAAAUUAUGUUCUGGAUUACUAUCCCAAUAUUAGUAAUCUAGCCAAACCUUUACAUGACAGGUUAAAAACUAACCUCAUUCCCUGGUCUGACCUCCAUACCGACCUGGUCAAACAGAUUAAAAAACAGGUCCAAACCAUUACUCUCCUCCAUUUAGCUAAUCCGUUAGCUCCUAAGAUUGUCGAGACCGAUGCCUCUGACCUAGGAUAUGGUGGGAUUCUUAAACAAGUACAAGAUAACAAAGUACAAAUUCUCCAGUACACAUCCGCCCACUGGAAUGUUUGUCAAAAAAUUUACUCUACUAUAAAAAAGGAGAUCCUUUCAAUUGUUCUUUGUAUUACAAAAUUUCAAAGCAAUUUGUUAAAUCAAAAAUUUCUUUUACGUGUUAACUUCAAAUAUGCAAAAGAAGUUUUACAAAAAAAUAUCCAAAAUCUUGCUUCAAAACAAAUUUUUGUCCGAUGGCAAGCUAUUUUAAGCAUUUUUUAUUUUGAUAUUGUCUGCAUUAAAGGAAAUUCAAAUUCAAUCCUUGAUUUUCUAACCCGAGAAUUCCUUCAAAACAAAUCUUGAUGCCUCCUAGAGCAAAAGCCAAAGACAAGGGGAAAGCCCCUCAAACCCAACCUACAAAACUAGAAAGCCCCAAGCCUUCUGCAAAACUCAUGUCUUCGGCCAUCUUAGCUGCCAAACCUAUCAAAUCCUGGUAUGAGGCAGUUAUUGAAGAAGAAGAAACUACAAGACCACCACAGGUACAAACAGAUGCAGUUCAAUAGUGGGUUGAUACUAUAUCCAAAUCACCAGAAUUAUUCAUGGCAUUACAAAAGGUGUCCCAACAGGCCUCCAGUGACUUUGUAUCUCAAACAGGUAAUAUUUCCAAAUCCCUUUCAAAACUCUAAGGAGGCAUUUCUGCUUCAAAACCCCUCCUUUCUUUACAACAAACCAGUUUUCCAAAAACCAAAUCCAAAUAUAUUUUCAAAACUACUUUCCAAAAUAUUUUAACUAUGGAAGAAGGAUUUUAUCAUGAAAACCCUUCCAUUGCUGCUUCAAAAAUUUUCCCUCCAAAUUAGCACUACAAACCCUGGAAUUUAGCCAAACCACAAUCCUACUAUGCCGCCAUCCUUGAGAUUACCAAUUCUGUCAAGUGUGUGUGUGUGUGUGUGUGUAGUUUAGUCCUAAAAUUUUAUCAUAACACAAACAAGUUAAUAUACUGAAACUUUUACUAUCUUCUAUAAUGCUAUAAUGUUUUUGCCAUUGCAAUCUUCAAAAAAAUAAUUGCAUAGUUAUAAAGUACUAUUUUAUUUUUUAAUUAAAAAAUGCAUUCUCAUUAUUUAUUCAAAUUGGGAUAAAACAAAAUAUCACUAUUUUAUAAAAUAGGACAUAAAAGAUAUGAAUAGUUAUCAAAACCCAUAACUUGGAUUAUGAACCCCACUAGGUUUAGAAAAAAUUUAUUUAAUUGUAUGAUAACAAAAAUAAACACUUGUAAAAUUAAGUAUUAAUCAAAUAAUUAAUUUUUCAUAUCUUUAAUCAGUACGCCUUAAACUCUAAGUUUUGAUAUAUAUGACCUCAAAAAACAUUUUUAAUCUUGAGGCGAAUACAAUAAAAUAUUUGGAAGCAAAGAUAUGAAUAAGUCGAGUUCUUUAUUUGAAUUUAAUAUAAAUAAAUGAAUCUAUUAUAAAAUAUAUAUGAUUCAAUUUCUAAACUUGUUUAUUAAAUAGAUGAGAUAUGGAUUUAUUAAUGAUUUUUGGGUGAGUUUUGAAGAAAAAGCAAGUGUUGCAUGAGAUAUUUAAAGAUUAAAAUGGAUAUAACCUAAUAAAAAUAAUGUCAAUCAAACACUAUAAACAUUUAGGCAAUGUAUGUUUUAUGUUUUAUAGAAAGUGAUUUUUUAGAAACUAUUUUUAAAAUUGUUUUGUGUUUAUUUAACAUUAAAAAAGUUAGUAAAUAGAAAAUAUUUUUCAAUCAAAGAAAAUAUUUAGCUUAGUUUUUCAGAAAAGUAUUUUCUUUUAAUUUUGAGCGGAAAAUAUUUUCAUAAGUUGUAAAAAACAUAAAAAUAUCUUUUUAUUUAUUAAAUAUAUCAAAUUUAGUCAUAAUCUUUUAAUUGUUGUAUAUUUUAUGUUUAAUUUUUUUAAUUUUAUCUUCUAAAAUUUAAUUUAAUUUAAUUUGAUUCUUAUUCUAACUUUAAUCCCUGUUAUUUUCUUAUAAUUGAAAUUAGAAAAGAUAAUUAUUAGAGUUGUCAAUAAAAAAAAAUGCCAACAUUACACGGUUUAACCUACUAUUUAUUUUGUUCUUAUGAAUUUUGUUUUGGACAAUUAAGUGCAAAAUAAUUUUUAUGAAGCAUUGACGGGAAUAAAUUAUAUUACACAAAAAAAAAAAUUAAAAUAGACCUAUAUAUGGUAACACCCUAGAAUUGUUCUUGUUUGUUGAGUUGUUUGCGAAAGAUCCAAAUAGUCAUUUUAUUUAUUUAUUUAUUUAUUUAUUUGCCCACCAAUCUUUUGGUGAACGUUGUUUCUUGGAAGUCAGGAAGCAUAUAUUUCUUGAACAAUUUAUUUGAUUCUCAAAGUGGACCAACGGGCAAUAAAAGUUGGAAAGAAUCUAGAGAGUGAAAGUUCGAUGCUCCGACGAGGAAGCUGCCAUGAAAUUCCUUAUUGCAAGCUGCCAUGCCCCCACCUGCCUCGACAGUUGACUUGACUUAACUGUAGCAGUAUUCUAAGUCUUUGAGCUAAUGGAAUCCUUCAAGUCUUCAACUCCGGUGAAAGGAAACUCAGUCCUUAAGCAUUUAAAAUUCUUGAUUUGGUCCUUGUGUUCUUCUCUUUAUGAAAUGUCACCCCCAAGUUCUAUGUAUUAAUAAAUUAAAAUCUACACAUGAAAUAUACUCUAAAGGACACACAUCUCACGAUCUUAUGGGUCCCCACAAUGAGAUUUAAUUUGUUCAUAAAUUAAACCAUGAUAGAAGGGCUGUCAAGGACCAAUGUCACAAAGUUUAAAGAUUAGGGAUGAAGUUUCUUUUGAUCACCAAUCAAAAAAUAAUUUACGGUUGAAAAGUCAAUCCUCUCAAUUCCACACACUUUACACAUCAUCAACACAAGAUAGCAAGCAUAUAAUGAUGCUUUACUUCGUUUCUCAAGAAAGAAAACAAGAUAGGAAAUCCAGUUCCCCGGAAAAGAUUUCCAUCUACCCAAAACAGCCCAGAAACCAUUGUCCUCUUAACUUCAGUUACUCACUAGUUGUUGUACAAAACUCAGCUGGUUUUUCUUUGUGAAAAGGAAGCCAUGGCAGGUAAAAUUGCUGUAUCAGCAGUUGCUGGGGCUGGUUUCGAGAUAAUUUUUGGUGAUUUCUUAAAGAUGGUUUUAAAAGCACAGAAAAACAACUCCCAGUUCGAGCCAAGCUUGAAGCGCCUAGAGGAGAUGUUGAAAGAAAUGUCUCCAAAUAUCAAGAAAAUAGAAUCUUUCAACGCAGAACUUGAUCAACCAAAGCAACUUGAAAGGCUCAAAGGAUUAGUGACAAAAGGCAAUGAUUUAGUCAAUAAAUGCUCAAAAAUCCAGAAAUACAACUAUUUGAAGAGGCCUAUUUAUAACAAGAAACUUAUCAAGUUAGAGAAGGAUAUUCGUGAUCAUAUUAGCAGUGUUUUGCAACUUCAGGUGGUAGCAGAUACAAAAGAGAUUUUGCAUACACAAAAUUCGAAUUUGGUUGCUGUGAAAGAUGUUUCUUAUGGAGUAAGACAGUUAAAUGAUCAAAUCGGGAAGUUAAGCAUGACUCUAAGCAAUGGUAGUAGGGUGGAUUCAAGCAAGAGCUAUAGUAAUACUAUUUUAGCUGGUGUGUGCUCACCUCCUCUACUGAAAGUGGAUCCUGUUGGGUUGAAGAUUCCAUUGAGUGAUCUGGAGAUAAAGCUGCUUAAUGAUGAGACAUCACAGCAUAUUGUGUUAUCUGCUCCUGGAGGAUGUGGAAAGACAACGUUGGCUACAGCACUUUGUCAACAUGGGAAUGUUAAAGGUACGCAUUUACUACUUGAGAGUUCUUUUGACUACCUCCUUUUGUCUUUCUACUUCUUCUGCUUAUUUUUGGUCCGGCUAUUUGUAUCCCUUUUUGAUGGUAAGAGAGUGUUUUAGUUAGUACACCUGUUAUAAAGGUUCUAUGAUCAUGUUAGGCAAACAAUUUUGCAAACAGAAUAGGGUAUCUGAACAAAGUUGAGCUUUAGUGCCCGAAAAGGUUUCCUUCUGUUUUCUUCUCUUCAGGGUAAUUGCCAGGUACAUCCAUUUCCUUGUUCUGUUAGUAUCCGAGGUAAAUUGCUGCUGUUUUCCCUUUUGUUUUUCUGGUCUUAUGUGUAUCUCUAUUAAGCUUCAUGUACAUUCUCUUGUUCAAUUAUUCAUUUUCAAGAAAUAAAAACGGAUGAUUUUGUCAUGUUGAAUUGUAACCACACAUAAAGACUUGUGUUUCUGCAGAAUUGUGGGGCUGUUAUUGAUUGAAAUAAGCAAAUGUAUGAUAUUUUAGACACAGUUCAUUACUUGGAACUCUUUAGCAGAGUAAAUGAAGCAAUUCCCAUAUUUUGCUUUUAGUUUUUCUGAGGAUUAGAAUUUGGGUUUCCACAUGUAGGCUCUUGUAUCCCUUUUCCUUUACCUAUAUGUGAAAACAUAAGAAUUUCUGAAGAAAUUUCAUUCCAGCUUUCUUCUUUUCCGAGGUUUCAGAUAAAUUCAAGAGCAACAUCUUCUUUAUCAACGUUUCAAAGCUGCGCAACCUGCUGGUCAUUGUGAAGACGAUAUUCCAGCAUAAAGAAUUCGAGUUACCUGAUUUUCGAAGUGAAGAAGAUGCAGCUAACCAUUUGGAACGUUUGUUCCAGCAGAUAGGACCAGAUCCAAUAUUAUUGGUCCUUGAUGAUGUUUGGCC
rnacentral:lncRNA from 1 species